GUUGCGCUUCUUCAUCAAUCCUGUCCUCAUCUGCAGCUCUUCUUCUUCUUCUUCUUCUCUGCGACCGAAGCUAAAGGUACCCAAUUAAUUCUUUGUCAUUGAUUCCUCCUCUUGAGGCCGUCCAUGCGUAUCAGAAACAGAAGAUAAAACUACGAACUAACAGUUUCUGAGACUUCCAUCCAUCAGAUGGAAUUCAAGCUUGGGAGAUCGGAUAAGCUUCGCAUGAGUGAGCAGGAACAAGAGCAGCUCGAGGUCCCCGAACACCCUCCUUUUGUGACUUCCUGCCCUUCUCCGUCGUCAUCGUCGACUGGCUUUUGGUGGCAUGAUGGUUCAUCGGGUGGCGGCAGCGGCGCCGUUGGAUCUUUCGUGGAGAAGGAGCACAUGUUCGACAAGGUUGUGACGCCGAGCGACGUCGGCAAGCUGAACCGGCUGGUGAUCCCCAAGCAGCACGCGGAGAGGUACUUCCCGCUGGACACGUUGGCCGACGAGAGGGGGCGGCUGCUGUGCUUCGAGGACAGGACGGGGAAGCCGUGGCACUUCCGCUACUCCUACUGGAACAGCAGCCAGAGCUACGUCAUUACUAGGGGAUGGAGCCGCUUCGUCAAGGAGAAGGGCCUCGACGCCGGGGACACCGUCUCCUUCUGCCGCGGCGUCGGCGAGGCCGGGCGCCACCGCCUUUACAUCGACAGUCAGCGGCGACCUCCAAGUCGAGACCCACCCUUGAUUCCACUUCCUGAGCUAUCAUAUACGCGGCUCUUCGCCUUACCGGUCGCGAGCUUGGGUACUAGCGGCGGCCAGCUUAUGUACUACGGAUGGCCAGCCGCGAGUCCACCUCAGAUGGAAGUGCGGCAAGUAGGCAGCGGCCGGGUGCCGAUGCUUCUCAGGUCAGUGCCCCUCGUGCGCGACCAGGCUGCCGUCAAGCGAGUUAGGCUCUUCGGAGUGAACCUGAAUUGUCCUGAAUCCAGAGACGAAGCCAGUCAUCACCACAGCGAUACUCUCUCUGUGUCUCUGCCGCAGUUGCAUCCCAGGACUGCGUUUCCGCUCCUCAAACCGCCGCAUGCGAGCGGUGACACACCGCCAGACUCAUCGUCGUCUUCGAUCUGCAAGGGGAAGAAUACACCACUAAACUUAUAUCUAUGAAGAAGGAUACGAUCGCAGAGGAAGAGAGGACAUCUUGACCAUCAUCCUUCUCAGCAAUUGGGACGCACACUGAACUGGAUGCCAAGUUUGAUUUCCAGCUUCAUCUUCUAACAGCAGUUGAGAUGCCCUAAAAUGGAGAGCAUGCAGUCAUCGAUUCAUCCAGGUCAGAUCUAAAGCCGGCUUUAUCCAUUCCUAUUUCUUGUUUGCCUGCCAUCUGUGAAUUUUCUGCAUCUUUCGAGGAAAGCCAAAUCUAAAGUGCACUGCAUGAGGUGGUGGGGGAUGAGAAGACAAGUACUGUAUGUUUAUGUAGUUCAUUAAGAUCAUCAGAUGCAAGACAUGCUUUGCUUCUGCUGCAACACCAA